rnacentral:rRNA from 1 species
UCUUCCGCAAUGGACGAAAGUCUGACGGAGCAACGCCGCGUGAGUGAUGAAGGCUUUCGGGUCGUAAAACUCUGUUGUUAGGGAAGAACAAGUGCUAGUUGAAUAAGCUGGCACCUUGACGGUACCUAACCAGAAAGCCACGGCUAACUACGUGCCAGCAGCCGCGGUAAU